rnacentral:rRNA from 1 species
UAUUGAGACAAGGCCCCAGGCCCUACGGGGCGCAGCAGGUACGAAAACUCCGCAAUGCGCGAAAGCGUGACGGGGGAACCCCAAGUGCCGUUGGUCUUUGAUCGACGGCUUUUAGGGAGUCUAAGAAGCUCCCGGAAUAAGGGCUGGGCAAGUCGGGUGCCAGCCGCCGCGGUAAUACCCGCAGCCCUAGUGGUGGWCGCGAUUAUUGNGCCUAAAGCGCUCGUAGCCGGGUCAGCAAGUCCCUUGUGAAAUCGGGCGKMCUAACCGUUCGGCUUGCAAGGGAUACUGUUGGUCUUGAGGCCGGGAGACGUCUGAGGUACUCCGGGGGUAGCGGUAAAAUGCUGUAAUCCUCGGGGGACCACCAGUGGCGAAGGCGUCAGACGAGAACGGACCUGACGGUGAGGGGCGAAGGCUAGGGGAGCGAACGGGAUUAGAUACCCCGGUAGUCCUAGCUGUAAAGCAUGCGGGCCAGGUGUCUGGUGUUCCUUGAGAGCACCAAGUGCCGGAGGGAAGCCGUUAAGCCCGCCGCCUGGGAAGUACGGUCGCAAGGCUGAAACUUAAAGGAAUU